rnacentral:rRNA from 1 species
UACGGAGGGGGCGAGCGUUAUUCGGAAUUAUUGGGCGUAAAGGGCGCGUAGGCGGCCCGGUAAGUCAAAGGUGAAAUCCCUCGGCUCAACUGAGGAACUGCCUUUGAAACUGUCGGGCUUGAGGCCGGGAGGGGGUAGCGGAAUUCCCAGUGUAGCGGUGAAAUGCGUAGAUAUUGGGAGGAACACCAGUGGCGAAGGCGGCUACCUGGACAGAGUCUGACGCUGAGGCACGAAAGCUAGGGGAGCAAACAGG